rnacentral:rRNA from 1 species
UGAGGAAUAUUGGUCAAUGGGCGGGAGCCUGAACCAGCCAAGUCGCGUGAGGGACGACGGUCCUAUGGAUUGUAAACCUCUUUUGUCGGGGAACAAAGGCGCCCACGGGUGGGCGGAUGAGUGUACCCGAAGAAAAAGCAUCGGCUAACUCCGUGCC